rnacentral:tmRNA from 1 species
GGGGCUGAUUCUGGAUUCGACGGGAUUUGCGAAACCCAAGGUGCAUGCCGAGGGGCGGUUGGCCUCGUAAAAAGCCGCAAAAAAUAGUCGCAAACGACGAAAACUACGCUUUAGCCGCUUAAUAACCUGCUUAGAGCCCUCUCUCCCUAGCCUCCGCUCUUAGGACGGGGAUCAAGAGAGGUCAAACCCAAAAGAGAUCGCGUGGAAGCCCUGCCUGGGGUUGAAGCGUUAAAACUUAAUCAGGCUAGUUUGUUAGUGGCGUGUCCGUCCGCAGCUGGCAAGCGAAUGUAAAGACUGACUAAGCAUGUAGUACCGAGGAUGUAGGAAUUUCGGACGCGGGUUCAACUCCCGCCAGCUCCACCA